AGAGUUUGAUCCUGGCUCAGGAUGAACGCUGGCGGCAUGCCUAAUACAUGCAAGUCGAACGAGAGGAAGGAAAGCUUGCUUUUCUGAAUCUAGUGGCGAACGGGUGAGUAACACGUAGGUAACCUGCCCAUGUGCCCGGGAUAACUUCUGGAAACGGAUGCUAAAACCGGAUAGGUAGCAGACAAGCAUUUGACUGCUAUUAAAGUGGCUAAGGCCAUGAACAUGGAUGGACCUGCGGUGCAUUAGCUAGUUGGUGAGGUAACGGCCCACCAAGGCGACGAUGCAUAGCCGGCCUGAGAGGGCGGACGGCCACAUUGGGACUGAGACACGGCCCAAACUCCUACGGGAGGCAGCAGUAGGGAAUUUUCGUCAAUGGGGGGAACCCUGAACGAGCAAUGCCGCGUGAGUGAGGAAGGUCUUCGGAUCGUAAAGCUCUGUUGUAAGAGAAAAACGAUAUUCAUAGGGAAUGAUGAGUGAGUGAUGGUAUCUUACCAGAAAGUCACGGCUAACUACGUGCCAGCAGCCGCGGUAAUACGUAGGUGGCGAGCGUUAUCCGGAAUGAUUGGGCGUAAAGGGUGCGUAGGUGGCAGAACAAGUCUGGAGUAAAAGGUAUGGGCUCAACCCGUACUGGCUCUGGAAACUGUUCAGCUAGAGAACAGAAGAGGACGGCGGAACUCCAUGUGUAGCGGUAAAAUGCGUAGAUAUAUGGAAGAACACCGGUGGCGAAGGCGGCCGUCUGGUCUGUUGCUGACACUGAAGCACGAAAGCGUGGGGAGCAAAUAGGAUUAGAUACCCUAGUAGUCCACGCCGUAAACGAU
rnacentral:rRNA from 1 species